CAAGCUUUUAAUUGAAGAGUUUGAUCAUGGCUCAGAUUGAACGCUGGCGGCAGGCCUAACACAUGCAAGUCGAGCGGUAGCACA
rnacentral:rRNA from 1 species